rnacentral:rRNA from 1 species
GCUGGCGGCACGCCUAACACAUGCAAGUCGAGCGCUCACUUCGGUGGGAGCGGCGGACGGGUUAGUAACGCGUGGGAACAUACCCUUUACUACGGAAUAGCCUUUGGAAACGAAGAGUAAUACCGUAUACGCCCCACGGGGGAAAGAUUUAUCGGCGAAGGCUUGGCCCGCGUUAGAUUAGAUAGUUGGUGGCGUAACGGCCUACCAAGUCUACGAUCUAUACCUGGC